rnacentral:tRNA from 1 species
GGAGGGUACAGCUCAGUGGCAGAGCACGUGACUAGCAUGCACAAUGCCCUGGGUUCAACCCCCAGUCCCUCCA